UGGUCUUUCUAAAUACUGUUUGUAUUCUUUCAGCACGUCUUCUUUCAUCUCUGAAUAUCAUAUUGGUUAUCUUCUUUGAUUCAAAGAGUUAAUAAGCAUGGCAGCUUAUGGAGCUCUGGUUUCUCUUAUGCAUAUCAUAGAUACCCUUCGCAAACAUCCUUUCCCUCCAAUUCGUAUUGACAAAAAACAAGUUGAAUCUCUCACUCAAAAUGUUACCAUCUUGCAGGAGUUUCUUGAUGCUGCUUAUAUAUCCCCUGUUGCCGGUAGCCAUGAAGCUGAUCCAUUGGAGCGUCGUAUUGCUGAUGCAGUUUAUGCAGCCGAAGAUGUUAUCGAAUCACAAAUUGUGCUUCAGAUUGACCGACGAUCUCCAAUCGUUGAGGGUCAUGGCUUCUAUCAAGAUCUGCAGAAAGUGAUUGAAGAAAUGAAUUUGAUCAAGAAUGGGGUGCAGAAGAUUGCAGUGGAAGCUCACUUGCAGCAAAAGCCCGUUGCUGCGUCAACGUCUUCUUCCUCUGUGAAGGAAAACGUGAUGGUGGGCUUUGAGGAAGUGUUUCUUGAAGUUUUGGAUAAGCUCACUGGAUAUCAACUCAGCCGCGAAACCAUCCCUAUCACGGGGAUGGGUGGAAUUGGUAAGACCACUCUUGCCCGAAGUUUAUUUGAGAAUGCACUUGUUAAGGAGCGUUUUAACAUUCGUGCUUGGACUACAAUUUCUCAAACUUUUAACGUUAGAGAAACACUUAGAGAAGUUCUUUUCCAAGCAAGUGGUGAUUCAAGUAGUGAUCUGAGUGAGGAAAAAUUGGGAGAAAAAAUAUACAAGUUUUUAUUUGGUAGGAGGUAUCUCGUAAUAAUGGAUGAUAUGUGGAGUGUAGAGGUGUGGGAGAAGAUAAAAUUUUUCUUUCCUAAUAACGAAAAUGGUAGUCGGAUAAUCGUAACCACUAGAUUGUCAAACUUGAGUUCUUCGUUGAAUGAGUCUUAUAGGGUUGAUAUGCAAUUUCUUGAUAAGGAAAGUAGUUGGGGAUUGUUUUGUAAGAUAGUGUUUGAGAAAGAAAGUUGUCCUCUUGAGUUGGUGAAUAUUGGAAAGAAUAUUGUAGUGCAAUGUAAAGGGCUUCCUUUAUCAAUUGUAACAAUAGGAGGUCUUUUGGCAAAAUCUAAGCGCGUGAUAGAAUAUUGGAAGCAUAUAGAGCAAAAUUUAAAUUCAGUUGUUAUCAACAACAAUGAUGAAUUUUGCUUGAAAAUCUUGAGGAUGAGCUAUAUCUAUCUGCUAAACUAUUUGAAGCCAUGUUUUUUGUAUAUGGGUUUUUUUGAAGAAGAUCGUAGGAUCCGCGUGUCAAUGCUCAUGAAGCUAUGGGUUUGUGAAGGGUUUUUAAAACCAAGGAAUGGGAAAAGUUUGGAAAUAAUUGCACAAGAGUAUUUUAAGGAGUUGGUUGAUAGAAAUCUCAUUUUAGUUGAUGGGUUGGGGUGUACUGGAAAUAUUAAGUAUUGUAAAAUUCAUGAUUUGUUGAGAGAUUUGUGUUUGAAAGAAGUUGAAAAGGAAAGAUUUUAUCAUGUGAUAAGAGACGAUCCACUACACAUAAGUUGCGAACGCCGGGUUGUUCUGAAAACUGAAGUGUUGCUAAUAAAUAAAGUGUUGGGAUCUUUAUCACAUGCUCGUUCUAUAAUAUGUGAUUAUGAUGAAAGCAGCAAGAGUGAAGUUAGACUGCCUCACAAUCUUAGAUUGUUGAGAACUUUCAAAGCAUAUGAUGAUAGUGAUGAUCGUUCUAUAAUGUACCUAUCUUUUUGGAAUGGUUCUUAUUUCCUAGAUAAUGUGUUUGAAAUGGUGAACUCAAGGUACCUUGCUAUAAGCGUUCAUGACGAGUCAAAAUUCCCUACUUCAGUUGAUCUGCUUUGGAAUUUGCACACAUUGAUCAUUUGUUGCAGAAAUAUUGGUAUACCAAUUGGAAUUUGGAAACUGCAUCAACUUCAGCAUCUUGAGUUUAGGUCAAGCAACUUGAAUCUCCCAGACCCUCCUAGUGGCGACAAUGACAUUGUUGGUAUGGAGAAUCUGCAUACCCUCAAAGGAGUGACGAAUUGGGUUUUGAAGGAGGAGGUGGUUGAAAGAAUUCCCAAUGUGAAGAAAUUGAAUCUAACAUACAAAGAGGUGAAGCAAAUAGAGGGAGCAAACUGUCUCAGCUAUCUUCACUGUUUUAGCAAAUUGGAAAAUUUCUUCUGCGAUGGAUUUGGAAGUCAUGAGUAUUUGCAAGAGAUGAGGCUCCCUCGCUCUCUCAAGAAAUUGUCUAUUGUUGCCUCUUUUACUCUGGAGUUGGAAGACAUAAUGCCAAAAAUCGGUUCAUUGCCCCUUCUCGAGAAGUUUGUAUUACAGUAUGGUUUCUUCAAAACAGGUAAGUGGGAAACAAUUGAAGGUCAAUUCACAAGUCUCAAGUUUCUACGGUUGGAGCAUUGUAAAGGUCUAGAAGAUUGGAUUGUGUCAGACAGCUCUCACUUCCCACUCCUCCAAAACCUUUUUCUUCAUAGUUUUCGUCAAUUGAAGGAGAUCCCAGCAGAAAUUGGAGAGGUAGCAACUCUGAAGUCUAUUUCAUUGAACAGUUGCAGUGAAUCAGCAGUGAUGUCAACUAAACACAUAGUAGAGGAACUCGAGGAAUUACAUGGAGAGACAGACCUUCAUGUUCGUGUUUCGACUUCUAAUGAAUCACUGAGGUGCUUUGCAAGUGUCAACUUUGAAGUUGAUGUGUAUCACUUCAUCAAAUAUCCUCUCAUUUCCACAGGAGAAGAUGAUGGAAAUUGCUAAUGAAGAAAGAACGGCCCAACUAUCUUAGCUAUAAUGUGGAAGGGAGAAAAAAGCUACCCACCUAGCCUUAGUAAUUGAGAAUUUCUCAAUGGCCGUGAAGCUGAUCCAUUGGAGCGUCGCAUUGCUGAUGCAGUUUAUGCAGCUGAGGAUGUUAUCGAAUCCCAUAUUGUGCUAAAUAUUCACAGAUCUUCCACAAUGCAUGGAGACAUCAAU